rnacentral:rRNA from 1 species
ACACUCCUGCGGGAGGCAGCAGUGGGGAAUAUUGCACAAUGGGCGCAAGCCUGAUGCAGCCAUGCCGCGUGUAUGAAGAAGGCCUUCGGGUUGUAAAGUACUUUCAGCGGGGAGGAAGGCGAUAAGGUUAAUAACCUUGUCGAUUGACGUUACCCGCAGAAGAAGCACCGGCUAACUCCGUGCCAGCAGCCGCGGUAAUACGGAGGGUGCAAGCGUUAAUCGGAAUUACUGGGCGUAAAGCGCACGCAGGCGGUCUGUCAAGUCGGAUGUGAAAUCCCCGGGCUCAACCUGGGAACUGCAUUCGAAACUGGCAGGCUAGAGUCUUGUAGAGGGGGGUAGAAUUCCAGGUGUAGCGGUGAAAUGCGUAGAGAUCUGGAGGAAUACCGGUGGCGAAGGCGGCCCCCUGGACAAAGACUGACGCUCAGGUGCGAAAGCGUGGGGAGCAAACAGGAUUAGAAACCCGGGUAGUCCCA